CUCUCACACACACACACACACACACAUGAAAAUCUCCCUCUCUCUCUCACACACACAUGAAAAUCUCUCUGAUGAGCUCAACUAGGUCUGUUUUUCUCACCCGGCCUAAUUUUUCUGAAUUACUGAGGAAUAAUGAAAAAACAGCUUGGCUCUCGGGAACCGACCAGCUACCCGGCAGAUGUAGCAACCAGGAAAAAUAGACCCAAGACAAAAUAUACCACCCCACAUUCUCUCACUCAAAGUGAGUGAGCCAGCCAAAUUUGAGUCUCAUAAUCAAUAUCAUUUUACAUUUGCCCUAGAUACUCACCCUUCACUUGAUGCUCAGUAAUGCAUUGGCUACAUUAGCCAUCCAGGUUUAAUCUAGUUGACUCAUUGACAUAGUGCUGUACUGCUAAACACCCAUGCUAAAUGUGGUCUCACGUGAGUUGUGUGGUUAGGGGGCGUCACCAUGUGAAGGGUGACCAAGCAUUCAGAAGCACACCUCGGGCUACAGUCCCUAGAGGUCACAGGUCACUUUCAAUAUCGACUGUUGGACAGCUCUGAGAGCGUAAUAUAAACCCUGCAUCAUUCCGCUGGUUGGAAUGGGAAUCCAUAUGUUAAGGGUGUAUUAUACACUGAGUGCACAAAACAUUAACAACACCUUCCUAAUAUUGAGUUGUAACCCCCCUUUUGCCCUCAGAACAGCCUCAUUUCAUCAGGGCAUGGACUCCACAAGGUAUCGGAAGCGUUCCAAAUGGACGCUGGGCCAUGUUGACUCCAAUGCUUCCCACAGUUGUGUCUAGUUGAUGUCCUAUGGGUGAUGGACCAUUCUUGAUAGACACGGGAAACUGUUGUGUAAAAACCCCAGCAGCGUUGCAGUUCUUAACACAAACCGUUGUCUGGCACCUACUACCAUACCCCAUUCAAAGGCACUUAAAUCUUUUGUCUUGCCCGUUCACACUCUGAAUGGCACACUUACACAAUCCAUGUGUCAAUUGUAUCAAGACUUAAGAAUCCUUCUUUAACUUGUUUCCUUCCAUUCAUCAACACUGAUUUUGAAGUUGAUUUAACAAGUGACAUCAUUAAGGGAUGAUGGCUUUCACCUGGUCAGUCUCAUGGUAAGAGCAGGUGUUCAUAAUGUUUUGUACACUGUGCAUGUAGGCCUAUCCAUUCCUUGAGCGAUACACUGUGUCUGCUGAUUUGGAUUGGACUUCAAUUGGAUUUAGAUUUCCUUAUUUGUUCACACACCAGAUUCCUCCCAUGCCAGAAGUCUGAUGAUGAUGAUGUAGCCUAUAGCUGUUUGCUGUGACAACAUCAACGUGGACGAGGCAGCUCGGUUCCUGGUGGAGAACAUCCUGCUGAAUGACAAGGGCCUGCCAUACGAGGAGAGCAACGGAGACCCCAUCAAGCUCGACCAGGAGACAGUGGCUGCUGAGAGCAAGCCAGGCUGCUGCUAGCUCUGAGGACUCUGCAUCCACCUUCUACUACUGCAUCCACCUUCCUCCCACUUGAUCGAUCAAUCAAUCAAUCAAAUGUAUUUAUAAAGCCCUUUUUACAUCUGCCGAUGUCACAAAGUGCUAUACAGAAACCCAGCCUAAAACUCCAAACAGCAAGCAAUGCAGGUGUAGAAGCACGGUGGCUAGAAAAAACACCCUAGAAUGGAAUGAACCUAGAAAGAAACCUAGUGAGGAACCAGGCUCUGAAGGGUGGCCAGUCCUCUUCUGGCUGUGCCGGGUCGAGAUUAUAACAGGAUAGCACCUCAGGCCAGCUCACACAGAGGGCCUAGAGGUCAAGGACUGGGUCUCCUAGCCCCACCCCUCCCCUAUGUCCAUUAACCCUGGACCGCCUCAACACCCUUCCAAACCUUAGCCGCCGUCUUCUGUAUCUACUAUCACAACGGGCUGCUGUUCAGGAAGGGCGUGACCCUGAACCCCAUAUCCCACCCCAAGCUGUCGUUACACUGGACUCAUGCCCCCUGUCCAAUGACCCUGCGGAAGGGCUACUGUCCAGGGAGUGGGUCUCGGCACACCCCAGCCCACUGACAAUUACGCGUGUAACUGUCUUGUUUCAUAAUGGUGACAUGAGUUCUCUUUUUUCCAUAGUUUUUGCUGAAGGCCUGAAUAAAGGUGGGACUAAGGAUGUGCCAUAAAUGUGUUUUUUAUCAUGAUGAUCUGUGGAAUAUCUUCCAGUGUUCUUCUAGGCAAUGCUAGUCACACAUGGACAAAAAAAAUACAUUUAUCUCGAAAGAAAGAACAAAUAGAAGGAAGGUGCCAUAGGAACUAAGAGAGAAAUCCCUGAGAGACUUGAUGUCUUUAGUAAUAGUAUGAAAGAGUACAUCUAAGAUGUGUAUUUUGUUUUUACAUUUGUGUUUGAUCAUGUACUGUACAAUUCCUGGUGAGGUACAUCAGGCGGGGGAGUGAACCCCCCCUCUACCCAAGCAGUUGAGAAUCCUAGGCAAGUAUAAAUAAUUUUUUUAAACACAGUGCGGGGUCUAUUAAGUUUACAUGUGAAAAUAUACUUUGAAACUACUACAAAAACCAAAAAUAAUAAACAUUUUAAUUGAUAAUA